CUUUUGGUGCAUACGUGUUUCUGCCAUUUUACCUCGAUUUUAUUUGUAUUUUCCUGACUAGCGGUGUCGAUCUUUCCUUCGACUGAUCUUUGCUCUGCGAGUGUGUUUGGCGCUCUGCUUCUGGACGCGUGUUCUGCUCCUGCGAGUGUGUUUGAAGCUCUGCUUCUGGACGCGUGUUCUGCUCCUGCGAGUGUGCUUGGCGCUGCUUCUGGACGCGUGUUAGUGAAUUUUUAAAGGUGCCCAAUUUCUUUUGCUCGGCGGUUGUUGGAGUUUUUGUGAGGAUUAGGGUUCGCUUCUGGUUGGUGGUGUCUCUCGGACUUGAUGUUCUCCAUCAAUUAAUUUUUUGGGCUUUUGGUCUGAUACGUCCUACUGGUUUUCGUAGUUUCUGUAUGUCUUGCUUCUUUGAUGGCGGUCGUCCUCAUUGUAUUUCUCGGCGCAUGUUGGUCGGUUGAUUCGGGGUUUAGAUGUCGAAUUGAGUGUGGUUUUAAUGCAUGCGUAGACAUUGAUCGUUUGUGAGCUUCGAUGUUUGCCUUCCUUUUUAAUGAACUAAGGGGAGACCAAAGGGGUGGUUGUUGAGUUUCAUUUUAUGACAUUUUGUUGACGUUUUCCUGAUUCCUUUUGGUUGCUUGACCUAAAUUUCGGUACUUCAGUUUUCUCAGAAGCCAGCAGGAGAAGACGACGAAUUUAACCCACUUUCUCUUCAAAAACUGGGUCGAUGGAACGAAUUAAGAAACCAAGGGUCACAAAUUCCCAAAACAGUUGUGUUAUUUAUGCUUGCGGGUAGGUUGGUUUCAAGAAGCGCACAUCGUUUUGGGAAUUUGUGACCUUUGGUUUCUUAAUUCGUUUCAUCGACCCAGUUUUUGAAGAGAAAGUGGGUUAAAUUCGUCGUCUUCUCCUGUUGGCUUGGUGUGGAGCUCUAACCAAUGUUUUAGAUUAAUGAACUUUCGCUGCAGAGUUUGCAUUGUUCUAGCACCCAUUCUGAUUGAUUCCCGUAAGUGGGAAGCACAAUAUGAGUACUUUUGAGUGACGGCUCCGGAAGUUGUUGAGCCUUGUUGCAGGUUCAGGUUCAGGAAAAAGCGGGUUCCUGUGGGACAAUCUUAUGGGGGUUCAUUUUCCUCUUCAUUGUGGCGCAUAUCUUUUCUAGCUAUUCCAGGGUAUUUGGGGAGUGCUCUCUCAUUAGAGGGAGACAGAUAGAUAGCAUCGUUUAGUUGCAGGAAGUUGCAUGGGCGACAAUGAAAGCUGGGCACAGUCGGACGGCCUCUUGCCCAAUGGCCUUUUACCAAAUGUUGCAGCAAGAGUAACAAGAAAACUGAACAGUGAAAGGUGGUUAAAAGCAGAAGAGAGAACUGCAGAAUUGAUUGCCUGUAUCCAGCCAAACCAACCUUCUGAAGAACGAAGGAAUGCCGUUGCCAAUUAUGUGCAGCAGCUGAUCAUGAAGUGUUUUUCUUGUCAGAUUAAUAUUUGGUUCAGAUGCGAGGUCUCUACUUGUAAGGCCCGACUGCUAUUUUUAAAUGGGAGUUUAAACUUAUUUUUACUUUGAGAAAUGUAUGAUUUUUUAGCAUAGGAUACUUACAAAAAUUUGGGUUAUUGAUUUUCAUUUUGUUUUUUAGGCGUAAAACAGAAAUCAGUUGAGAGAGAGAGAGAGAAGGUGAGAGGUUUCUAAAUUAAGGUUAGCCACUUGGAAAGGCACCACAGUUGGAAUUCACUACCAACCUAAUCCCACAUCUGACUUCCCACUGGGAUUUCAGUUUAUGUAAGGCCCGACUGCUAUUUAAGUGGGAGUGGCCUGAUGUUUUGAGAGCUUAAGGGGAUUCUAAGAGAGAGUGACAGUGAGAGCAAGAAGACUUGUGACUGAGAAAAUGGCAUCUGCCUGUAGGAGGAAAGGUAGAGAGAGGGAGAGAGAGAGAGAGAGAUGAUGCAUGCUCACACUCCAGUAAGUAAAAGGUCUGCUUUCGAAAUCACCAUACAAGCUGUCAUAAACCUGCAGAAUCAGAAACUCAAUUAUAUUAGUGGACAUAUGAUCCAUUUCUUGGAUCCAAACUCAUGUAAUUGGAUGUUAGGUCCACAGCUUGUGAUCUCUGGUCCACCCCUUCAUUUGAAAGUAGAGACUGUGAGUGCGCCGGCAUGUACUCUCAAUAUUAUUUGUCGGGUGGGGACUCUACUGUUCAAGUGGGAUCCCCAUCCUCGUUUUCUUUUCUUUUUCUUCUUUUUUUAAAAAAAAAACAUCAUCGUUGCUAGCAAAUGCUGAAAAGGAGUCCCGGAUUUCGUAGCC